GGAUUGAUAGCCAAGUGGUUGUACGGCGCCGUACUUGAAAUACGGUUGCGCUUCAUCGCGCACGGAGGUUCGAAUCCUUCUCAGUCCG
rnacentral:tRNA from 1 species